rnacentral:sRNA from 1 species
UGCCUGUAACUUAGGAGAAUUCCUUUU